CAGUCGCCACGGUAAUGCGUAGGUGGCAAGCGUUGUCCGGAAUUAUUGGGCGUAAAGGGCUCGCAGGCGGUUUCUUAAGUCUGAUGUGAAAGCCCCCGGCUCAACCGGGGAGGGUCAUUGGAAACUGGGAAACUUGAGUGCAGAAGAGGAGAGUGGAAUUCCACGUGUAGCGGUGAAAUGCGUAGAGAUGUGGAGGAACACCAGUGGCGAAGGCGACUCUCUGGUCUGUAACUGACGCUGAGGAGCGAAAGCGUGGGGAGCGAACAGGAUUAGAUACCCGCGUAGUCCCUGUCUCUUAUAC
rnacentral:rRNA from 1 species